GGGGAUAUGGCGAAGUUGGGAUCGCGCCUGAAUGGCAUUCAGGAGGCCAGGGGUUCGAAUCCCCUUAUCUCCACCA
rnacentral:tRNA from 1 species